UACGUAGGGUGCAAGCGUUGUCCGGAAUUAUUGGGCGUAAAGAGCUCGUAGGCGGUCUGUCGCGUCGGCUGUGAAAUCCCGAGGCUCAACCUCGGGUCUGCAGUCGAUACGGGCAAACUAGAGUAUUGCAGGGGAGACUGGAAUUCCUGGUGUAGCGGUGAAAUGCGCAGAUAUCAGGAGGAACACCGGUGGCGAAGGCGGGUCUCUGGGCCAUUACUGACACUGAGAAGCGAAAGCAUGGGGGAGCGAACAGG
rnacentral:rRNA from 1 species